GUCGACGUACUUCAUAGGAUCAUUUCUAUAGGAUUCGUCUCUUUUUGACUCUUCUCAAGAGCCACUAACACCAACUUGGUUGAUGAGAUAGAACCUCCACCCCUUUAAAGUGAGAAAUAACGGAUGGCCCCAUAAAGGCUGUUCAGUAGUUUAUCAUUACAGCUUUGUCUACGAUUCUCAGCAAUCUAGUCAUCUGGAUAUUCUACGACCCCUAUUUCACUUUUUAUUCCUUUUUUCAUUAGGCAAAUAAAGGAGCGAUGAUCUUUAUCUUGGAAUGUGUACUUCUUCGGAAGUGAUGUUUUAAGAUGGGAGUGGAUGGCUGUCUGACAAGU
rfam:Pichia kudriavzevii strain SD108 scaffold00001, whole genome shotgun sequence.